UCCCGAUGGCGAGUUGAUUCCGCUGAAAGAAAAAAAAGGUUUCGACACCGCACCCUUCUCUACCAGCUCUUCUGUACCCGCCCGCUCAUUCGUUCUUCUCGACCGAAAGAAUCAGCGACAAAUCAGCCAUUCCCUUCCAUAAUUGCUGUUGCUGCCCCUCCGCCGCACCACGCGACCGCGCCUCCCCCAGACGCCGCCUCCCUCCUCGCGGCACCCACCUCCCCCUCACGACACCACCUCCCCUCGACCCCGCCGUGCCCGCCGCUACCCCAGCCUCGACGGCGAGCUGCUGGUUCUCGCCGCCCCUGCCUCUGAGGACGUUCUCCUUCCCGGCCGGCCCCUUUGCAGGGCCUAGUACCUGGCAGCGUCUUCACGGAGGAGGCGCGUGGUGCGGCCGCGGGUGCAGGCGGCGUAGGGAGAUGGGCCCCCAUCCACCCGUGCAAGGAGGGGUGGUCCUCGGCGGCGGCGGCGGCCGCAGCUUGUAGAGGAUGGGCACACAUCAAGCUGGAGCAAGUGGGGCUCUCCGCCAUCCACCUGCGCGCAGCCCUUGUGAUCCGUCGAUCACCCCUCCCCCACCUAGGCCCUCGCGAUCCGCUCGACCUCGCCAUCCCCUCCAUUUGCGUGGAUCGACCCAACUUCCGUAGCGCGAUCCUGGCGGCGCCGCGGUGCAGCUCAAGCGGUGGUUCCCUGCGAGCUUCGAUCGGUUGAUCUUGUCCCGAGGAUUUGAUGUUGGAGUUUUAUCCACCAUGCAGCUCGUCCACGGCCGUGCGCCUGUGCAAACGCCGGCAUCCUCACCGUGGCCGCAGGUCGUCCAGAUACGGAAAAUAGUAACAUUUUCGAAUUUUGGAAGGAGAAAAGGUCAUUGCAGCAGCUACCAAUAAAAUGGAAAUGAUUAGGCCAAGCCUCUUUGUUGGAUUCGAGACUGAGUGCAGAUGAGUGACUCACAGGAGAGCGAGCACAGGAACAAUUGCUGGAGGAGAAUGUGGGAAACGUGCUGUCGUGGUCGACACCAAUGGCUGUCCUGAUUACAGCUCCUUCUGUUUGCAGAUCAUGUUGUGAAGAUUUUUCUAAGGUCACCAUAGUGAUUACCAGAACUAUUGUCUUACCUAAUGGUUAAUUAUCUAUAGGAUCUGGGUAACUUUUUUGUGUGCCAAUGGCGAGCCACAGUACCCUUCUUACGUUUUAUGCGGUACCAAUUUAGGCAACAAUAGAAAGACUAGAAGGUUUUGUCUGUGCCCAAUUUCACCUUUUAAGAACCUUGAUUUAACUGGUAGCCUGGAAGUUUUUGUGCAUAAAUCAAGCUGAUGCUACUUUGUCUCCUGGUAAUAAUCUUACUAAGAGUACUUUAAUAUGCAGGAAUUAUGACUAAGAGUAAUUUGGCAAUGAAA